rnacentral:rRNA from 1 species
UACGGAGGGGGCUAGCGUUAUUCGGAAUUAUUGGGCGUAAAGGGCGUGUAGGCGGCUUCGUGUGUCCCAUGUGAAAGCCCUCGGCUCAACCGGGGAACUGCAUGGGAAACUGCGUGGCUUGAGUCCGGGAGAGGUGAGUGGAAUUCCCAGUGUAGCGGUGAAAUGCGUAGAUAUUGGGAGGAACACCAGUGGCGAAGGCGACUACCUGGCCCAUUCUUGACGCUGAGGCGCGAAAGCUAGGGGAGCGAACGGG